rnacentral:tmRNA from 1 species
GGGGGCGUACCGGUUUCGACGGGGUCUUUGCACCAGGGUAAGCGAGUAGAGGUUUGCUGCACCCUCUUUAAUCCUGUGGCACGUUUAAAUAUAAACGCUAACAAUAACAUUACGGUAAAGCGCAACAACGCUGUACUGCUUGCUGCCUAAGUCAGCAAGUGUCCUGUGAUUGAGUAUCGCGGCCUUCACAGGGCAUCGAUGAGCGGUGAACGUUCCGGCGGCCUGUCCGCACCGCAGGAAUGUAUUCGGACUACCUGAGAUACCAGCCUGUUUACCGGCGGGUGUACCGGGGAAUUUUAAAAGAUAAACUACACUCGUAGAAAGCUGUGGGAACGGGGUCUCGGACAAGGGUUCAAUUCCCUUCGCCUCCACCA